rnacentral:rRNA from 1 species
CGUUCUGUAAGCCUGUGAAGGUGUGUCGUGAGGCAUGCUGGAGGUAUCAGAAGUGCGAAUGCUGACAUAAGUAACGAUAAAGCGGGUGAAAAGCCCGCUCGCCGGAAGACCAAGGGUUCCUGUCCAACGUUAAUCGGGGCAGGGUGAGUCGACCCCUAAGGCGAGGCCGAAAGGCGUAGUCGAUGGGAAACGGGUUAAUAUUCCCGUACUUGGUGUUACUGCGAAGGGGGGACGGAGAAGGCUAUGUUGGCCGGGCGACGGUUGUCCCGGUUUAAGCGUGUAGGUGUGUGUUCCAGGUAAAUCCGGUUCACUUUAACACUGAGGCGUGACGACGAGGCACUACGGUGCUGAAGCAACAAAUGCCCUGCUUCCAGGAAAAGCCUCUAAGCAUCAGGUAACACGAAAUCGUACCCCAAACCGACACAGGUGGUCAGGUAGAGAAUACCAAGGCGCUUGAGAGAACUCGGGUGAAGGAACUAGGCAAAAUGGUGCCGUAACUUCGGGAGAAGGCACGCUGACACGUAGGUGAAGUGAUUUACUCAUGGAGCUGAAGUCAGUCGAAGAUACCAGCUGGCUGCAACUGUUUAUUAAAAACACAGCACUGUGCAAACACGAAAGUGGACGUAUACGGUGUGACGCCUGCCCGGUGCCGGAAGGUUAAUUGAUGGGGUCAGCGUAAGCGAAGCUCCUGAUCGAAGCCCCGGUAAACGGCGGCCGUAACUAUAACGGUCCUAAGGUAGCGAAAUUCCUUGUCGGGUAAGUUCCGACCUGCACGAAUGGCGUAAUGAUGGCCAGGCUGUCUCCACCCGAGACUCAGUGAAAUUGAACUCGCUGUGAAGAUGCAGUGUACCCGCGGCAAGACGGAAAGACCCCGUGAACCUUUACUAUAGCUUGACACUGAACAUUGAGCCUUGAUGUGUAGGAUAGGUGGGAGGCUUUGAAGUGUGGACGCCAGUCUGCAUGGAGCCGACCUUGAAAUACCACCCUUUAAUGUUUGAUGUUCUAACGUGGACCCGUAAUCCGGGUUGCGGACAGUGUCUGGUGGGUAGUUUGACUGGGGCGGUCUCCUCCUAAAGAGUAACGGAGGAGCACGAAGGUUGGCUAAUCCUGGUCGGACAUCAGGAGGUUAGUGCAAUGGCAUAAGCCAGCUUGACUGCGAGCGUGACGGCGCGAGCAGGUGCGAAAGCAGGUCAUAGUGAUCCGGUGGUUCUGAAUGGAAGGGCCAUCGCUCAACGGAUAAAAGGUACUCCGGGGAUAACAGGCUGAUACCGCCCAAGAGUUCAUAUCGACGGCGGUGUUUGGCACCUCGAUGUCGGCUCAUCACAUCCUGGGGCUGAAGUAGGUCCCAAGGGUAUGGCUGUUCGCCAUUUAAAGUGGUACGCGAGCUGGGUUUAGAACGUCGUGAGACAGUUCGGUCCCUAUCUGCCGUGGGCGCUGGAGAACUGAGGGGGGCUGCUCCUAGUACGAGAGGACCGGAGUGGACGCAUCACUGGUGUUCGGGUUGUCAUGCCAAUGGCACUGCCCGGUAGCUAAAUGCGGAAGAGAUAAGUGCUGAAAGCAUCUAAGCACGAAACUUGCCCCGAGAUGAGUUCUCCCUGAGACUUAG